AUUGAACGCUGGCGGCAGGCCUAACACAUGCAAGUCGAGCGAGCGGCGGACGGGUGAGUAAUGUCUGGGAAACUGCCUGAUGGAGGGGGAUAACUACUGGAAACGGUAGCUAAUACCGCAUACCAUCAGAUGUGCCAAGAUGGGAUUAGCUAGUCGGUGGGGUAACGGCUCACCUAGGCGCCGAUCCCUAGCGGGUCUGAGAGGAUGACCAGCCACACUGGAACUGAGACACGGUCCAGACUCCUACGGGAGGCAGCAGUGGGGAAUAUUGAACAAUGGGCGCAAGCCUGAUGCAGCCAUGCCGCGUGUGUGAAGAAGGCCUUCGGGUUGUAAAGCACUUUCAGCUGGGAGGCGUUACCCGCAGAAGAAGCACAGGCUAACUCCGUGCCAGCAGCCGCGGUAAUUC
rnacentral:rRNA from 1 species